GCGUGAGUGAUGAAGGCCUUAGGGUUGUAAAGCUCUUUCGCUAGGGAAGAUAAUGACGGUACCUAGUAAAGAAGCCCCGGCUAACUUCGUGCCAGCAGCCGCGGUAAUACGAAGGGGGCUAGCGUUGUUCGGAAUUACUGGGCGUAAAGCGCGCGUAGGCGGCUCAUUAAGUCAGGGGUGAAAUCCCGGGGCUCAACCUCGGAAUUGCCUUUGAUACUGGUGAGCUUGAGUCCGAGAGAGGUGAGUGGAACUCCGAGUGUAGAGGUGAAAUUCGU
rnacentral:rRNA from 1 species